UUCGGCAGCACAUAUACUAAAAUACAGAUUUUCUGGAAUGAUACAGAGGAGAUUAGCAUGGCCCCUGUACAAGGAUGACACACCAAUUCAUGAAACAUUCCAUAUUUAA